GACGUAGGGCGCGAGCGUUGUCCGGAUUUAUUGGGCGUAAAGAGCUCGUAGGCGGUGUGUCGCGUCGGCCGUGAAAACCUGCAGCUUAACUGUGGGCUUGCGGUCGAUACGGGCAUCACUGGAGUUCGGCAGGGGAGACUGGAAUUCCAGGUGUAGCGGUGAAAUGCGUAGAUAUCUGGAGGAACACCGGUGGCGAAGGCGGCAUUCUGGACCGAUAUUGACGCUGAGGAGCGAAAGCCAGGGGAGCAAACGGG
rnacentral:rRNA from 1 species